GAUGAAGAACGUAGCGAAAUGCGAUACUUGGUGUGAAUUGCAGAAUCCCGUGAACCAUCGAGUCUUUGAACGCAAGUUGCGCCCGAAGCCACUAGGCCGAGGGCACGCCUGCCUGGGCGUCACACGCCGUUGCCCCCCCAUCUACUCCUUCGGGAUUGCGGGGGGGCGGAUGAUGGCCUCCCGUGCGCCUAGCCGCGCGGUUGGCAUAAACACCAAGUCCUCGGCGACGCACGCCACGACAAUCGGUGGUUGCGAAACCUCGGUUGCCCGUCGUGUGCGUUCGUCGCGCAUCGAGGGCUCGAAAAAAUGCUCGGCUCCGGCUGGGCUUUCAACGCGACCCCAGGUCAGGCGGGGUUACCCGCUGAAUUUAAGCAUAUCAAUAAGCGGAGGA
rnacentral:misc_RNA from 1 species